CAGGAAGCCCAAUGAGGGUGCUGAGGGGACGUCCAGAGCGCGUGGACAGGGCCUCCGGGCAGAAGUGUGGUGCUGAGGACGUGUGGCCACCUUCCUGGGGUGCAGCUGGAGCAGCUCCUGAUACAGCUGUGGGGCGGAGGGCUUACCUAACGUCUAAGUACACCCUACUCCACGAGAACCAGCAGGUCCUGCUGUCAGGGAACAACCCCUGAUCGAGGGUUGGCCAACCUGGCUUGACUCUGUGCGAGGCAUGUCCUUGGGGCCAAGGUCGGGGGUAGGGGAUGUGGGCUGUCCCUGGGGUGGGUGAGGGCAGGGAGGCAUGAGGUUUGUGGAGGGGCCAUAGGGGCGAGAUCAGCAAGGUGGCAGGAAAUGGGAUGAGGUGUGAGCAUGAGACAGACCUGGAGGACACCUGGGGAGCAGAGUGAGGCUGUCAGUGCUGCGGGGAGGACCCUGGCAUCACUGCCCGCUUCAGCCUUGCCCUUUGUGCCGGCCUCGCCCCUCCCAUUUAUUCCCCUAGGUCUCCCAGCAGCAGUGUUUUUAUGAGUUUCUUUAUGGUGAUUGGCACAGACACGGGGACCUAGAGCUGCGUGCCCCCACCCCCGCCAAGGCCUCCCGAGGGCUUUCGCCAUCCUGACUCCGCGUGCAGGGCACUAAAGAGGCCCUUUGCAAGUUAGAGUGCAGGGAAGCACCUGAGGCAGCUGCAGGUCCCAGGUGCUGGGCUCCGGCACAAACAGCCUGGUGGAUGGGUCUGUGGCCUUUUCUGGAAAUCUUUUCCUCUCACUCUCCUGGUCUCCCACAUAGAGGUCUAAAAACCUGAGUCACCCUGUCCUGAACUGGUUCUCUGGCAAAUCUACUGGAAAUUAACCUUUAUUGAUAUUAUGCUGCUUAUAAAAUAACACAUGCUUAAUUAUUGUAAAUUUAAAAACAGGCCAGAUGGGGUGGCUGAUGCCUGUAAUCCCAGCACUUUAGGAGGCCAAGGCAGGCGGGUCACUUGAGUCCAAAAGUUCGAGACCAGCCUGGGCAACAUGGUGAAACCCCAUCUCUGAAAACAUGUAGGUGGCAUAUUGACGUGCCCAAAUGCAAGUGUUUAUCCAGCCGAGCGUAAGAGCUGCCCCUUUCCGGCCUUGCCUCAGAUGCCGCAUCAUUGAUUUAAUCCUCUGUUGGAUUUGGCGGCUUCCCAAGGACACAACCUCACAGGGAGGCCGUGCAUCCCUUACGAAUUCGGGUCGCAGGGCACACAUGUGUUUCAGGAUUUUGCUUCCAUUGCUGGGUCUGUGUGUUCACAGCACAUGAGCUUGGCACAACCCUAGGUCUUCAGCCGCAUCUUUUGUGUGAGGCAGAGAAGGUCCAUCCCUCCCCCGCCAGGCGCUGGUCUCAGCACCUGUGGCCACCAGGGUCUUGCUGAGAAUGGGCCCUCACUGGUCCAUCUCACACCUGAGACUGCGUCGGGCACCAGCUGCAGGAAGCCCAGCCUGGUCUCAGCACACGCUGCUGGCACCGUCUGGGCUGAGGCACUGGUGACAGAUGACAGCUCUGAUAUGGGGGGAGGAGGCAAGGGUGUGCACGGGCUUCCUUCUCAGAAAGGUGUCACACUGAGUCGGCGUCCACCUUCCGUCCGGGGGCAGAGCACACGUCCCUGCCGCGAGAGCAUCAGCCUGCGGAGCGGCAGCAGCAGAUUGGCCAGGCAUGGCAUUGUUCCCUCUGGGGCUGUGGCCCCUGCUCCUGGACUGCUGGACCCUCCCUCCCGCUCCCGCUGCAGACUCCCUGGCCCUGGUGAGGGGUGGAAACCGCUGCGAGGGCCUCCUGCAGGUGCAGUCCCUGGGGCAGCAGGGCCUGGUGUGUGGGGACCGCUGGGGCCUGCGGGAGGCGUCUGUGAUUUGCAGGCAGCUGGGCUGCGGUCGUGCCCUCUAUGUCCCCACAUACGUGGUGUGGCCCCAGGAGGCCCAGCAGUCCUUGCUGCAGGGCGUGCAGUGCCAGGGUGUGGAGGCCUCGCUCUGGGACUGCUCCCUGGGGAAGUGGGGGUCGCCGCACGGCUGUGAGUGUGAGUGCAUCGGUGCAGUCCACUGCUCAGGUAGGACGGGUGCCCCGGGAGCCACUUCUGCCAGUCUGUGGCCCUGUCCCCACCCACGAUCUUCACUUUGGGGAGGAGGGUUGUUGCCUGAGUCCCCCAGGGUGGAAGACAAGACCCUUCUUCCUGGGGUGCCUGUGACUCCAGUGCUGUGACCCUCAGACCCUCAUGGCACCGUAUGACCCCACAUGUGUCCCCUCCAAGGGCCCAGACAGCACAGCACAACUGAGCAACACAUUACACACCCAGGCCAGCCCUGGCUGGGACUCCAGCCCGAGUUCAGUCCUUCUGGGUUCAAUUGACUCCUGGAGACCAUCAAGCACUGGGGGCCAGUGGUGACCACAGGACCUUCUGAGGAGGAAAGCUGGCCUCCUUGGAGCUGAGUGGCGGAGGCAGCCCCUGUGCGGGAACCCCCAUGAUCCGGAUAACAGAAGGCCCUGUGAUAAGGUGCGGCUUGCACCAGAAGGAGGCCAGCAUCUUCUGCAGAAGGCUGGGGUGCGGCCCAGCGCUCCAGGCAUCCAGGCCCCACCUCACAGGGCACCCAGGCUGGCUGGGCUCGAAAAUCAUUUCCUGCCAGGGAACAGAGUCCAGCAUCUUCAACUGCAGGUUCAACCUGAACUUCCUGGACCUCUGUGACCUCCCGACAGACUCUGAGGUGGUGUGU
rnacentral:lncRNA from 1 species